rnacentral:rRNA from 1 species
UACGUAGGGUGCAAGCGUUGUCCGGAAUCAUUGGGCGUAAAGCGCGUGUAGGCGGCUGAGUAAGUCUGCUCUGAAAGCCCGGGGCUCAACCCCGGGAGGCGGGUGGAUACUGCUCAGCUCGAGUCCGGAAGAGGAGUGUGGAAUUCCUGGUGUAGCGGUGAAAUGCGCAGAUAUCAGGAGGAACACCAAUGGCGAAGGCAGCACUCUGGGACGGUACUGACGCUGAGACGCGAAAGCAUGGGGAGCGAACGGG